GAAGCUCACAUCUAGGGCGUGGAGUUACAGAAAUCAGACUGGCACAUGAUACAGAAGGGACUAGGUGCUAUGGAGAGAAGUGAGCCGGGGAGGGGAUAGCCUGUGUUGGAGCGGAGGCUACUUCUUUAGAGAGAUGAGGGAAGGCCACUCGAAUCUGAUGCUGAGCAGAGAUCAGGGAUUUUGUAUAAGGGAAGUGAGGGAGUGAGUCAUGUGGCCACCUCAGGAGAGCAUUCCAGGAUAAGAAAACGGCAGGUGCAAAGGCACUGCUGCAGGGAGGUGUUCGAUAUUUCCAAGGAGUGUGGAGAAGUCCCGUGUGGUGGCUGCAGAGGGAGCAGGGGGAGGAUGAUGGGAGGUGAGAAUAGAGAUAUCUGAGAUACGCCCUCAAGAGCCCUAGAGGCCAUGCGAAUUGCAUGGGACCCACUGGAGGGAGCCAUUCCCAGAGCCGUGACAGGUUGGGACCUGCCUGCAAAGGACCACAUUCUGGCCGUGGGGAAGGACAGAAGCAGGAGACCAAUUUGGAGGCUGGGGCCUGGGGCCUAGGACAGGCAUGGUGAGCAGUGGUCAGUUUCUGAAUCCAUUCUCAGGGUAGACACAAUAGGAUUGGUGAUUGAUUGAAUAUGAGAUGUGAGACAAAGACAAACGCCAAGGAUGGCUCCAAGGGUUUUUCCUGAACAGCUGCCAGGAUGAAGUUGGCAUUGAUUUAGGUGGAGGAAGAAAGGAGGGAGCAGGUUUGGGAGCUGGAGAUAGAGAUUCAUUUUUGAAAGUGUUAAUUUGAGAUGUUCAAUUAGACACACAGUGGAGAUGCCAAAUAGACAAUUAUACAGGAGUCUGGUGCUGAGUGUUGAGGUCUGGGAUGGAGACAUCACCCUGAGGGUCCUUAGCAUUUAAAUGCUGUUUAAAACCAGGAGGUUAGAUGAGCUCAUCAAGGGAGAGAGAAGGGAUAGAAGAGGGAGAGGGUCUGAGGACUCAGCCCUGGAGCAUAGAUAAUUAACAGGCAGAUGAGGAGAAACUGGGAGAGGAGACUGAGAAGGAACAGCAGGCAAGAGAAAGAGGGCUAAGGGAGAGCCAUGACCUACAAUCAGGUCAAGAAGCAUUUCUACAGGAGAGAUUUAUGCUGCUGAUCUUCCAAUAGAUCAAGUAGUGUGGAGACCACCGAGACCCAGCCACUGGAGACCAUUAGCCUAGAGAGGUCAUUGGUGGCCUUGCCAAGCCCUGUUUUGAUUCCAGGCUCGGGAGACAGAGUGUAGUCAGAGGAGAGGAAUCACAGACAGCCCAGUGCAGACAAUAGGCAACUCUUUCAAAGAGUCAUCUCAUAAAGGUCUUCUCACCUAAAGAACAUUGGGAAGACUUUAAUUGGAAUCACAAGAAUUGGGAACAGCUGUUGGUGUUUGCAGCCACACAUGUUUGAGAUCAGUUAUCUUUUGACAUAAUGACCAAGAUUUUUUGUUAUGUCAGAUGAGAUAAAAGUAAGUAUUUGCUGCUACAGUUUCCCCUGAUAAGCAGUAUUCCACUUUUAUAUAAGAGGGCCAGAUGGUUGAAUUAAGGAUGAAAUAACACAUAUUGAAAUUUGCUUUUAAAUCUACCUCUGUACACAGAGGUUCUCUUAAGAGAGGUUUACCAUCAAUCUUUGGCUUUGUCCUCUCCUAAUGAUACGGGAACUAUAAAGAAAUUAUUUAGGCAGUUAGUGAGGGUAAGAGAGUCUUUGUCAAGGUUUCCUUUUUAAGAAAAAGCAGCCCCCAAAUCAUUUCUUUUCUAACAAAGAGCAGCCUGAAAAAUCAAGCUGCUGACAUAGAAAAGCAAGAUAGAAGCUUGCAUGGGUGAAUGCCGGUAGCCGUGCCAAUGGGAAAAGGCUACCUGGGGGCCAGGCAUGUUCAACAUGGAGGCUCUAUCUUCCCUUUUCUUUGUCAACCACAUGUACAGCAAUGAAGCAGGCAACAUGGCGCUGGCCAGGUAGAGAACCCAGCUGCAUAAUAGAAGAUUACAGUGCACUGGCCAGCUUCUUGCACUAUGCAAAUGACAUGCCUGGUCUGACCAAUCUCUCGUACCCUGUGUAAAUCAGACACUGCCUCCUCAAGCUCCUGCAUAAAAUCCCAUGCAUUUCACCACGGAACUGGAAGACCUACUCGGGAGCUCCUCUGUCUCUACAGCAGAGAGAGCUUUUCUCUUUCUUUCACCUGUUAAACCUCUGCUCUUAACCUCACUCCUUGUGUGUCUGUGUCCUUGAUUUCCGUGGCGUGAGGCAACGAACCUCAGGUAUUAUCCCAGAUGAACGAUGCCACUUCACUAAGGAAGAUAAAGGAAACUAGAGACUAAGCUCAAUAUCACACUCCUCCCAUGUGUAUGCACACUUACAUAUACAUCUUUGUUUUAAUUUAAGCAGGAGAAAGAAGUUAGGAAAGUGGUUAUGUUCCUAAGCUGUUUUUCCAUAAUCUGAGCUUUGUUGGAAGUAUUAGAACAGAUCUGUAGCAAAACUCAGAAACUGUGAACCCUCAGUGCAGUUUCUCAAAUGUGCUCACAUGUGAUCCUAGAUCCAUCUUACACCUUGCUAUUCCAGUUUAAUAGUAGGGUAUUGAAUCUGGCUUCCUGUGCUGCAGUGAUUUAGAAGGUGUGUGAAAUAUGGAAUUGUUUUGUUGGACUCUUCCUUAUUCCUUAUCUGUUUGCCACCCACCAAUACAGCAACUACUAAAAAUAAGGCUAGAGCUCUGUGUUCUUCCAGUAGUGAGAUGAAUCAAUGUUGAUAACGUGCCCUCUCUUGAUUCCCAGGUGUAUAAACAAUGAAAUUUUUGAUGAGUUUUCUUGCCCAAGGGGUGAAAUCUCCAGCCAAUAAACAGAGCAUCUAUCUGUGUGUGAGUGCCUGUCUGUGUGCACAUGAGUGCAUGCCUUGUGUGUCCGUGUGUGUGCAUUCGUGUGCUGUGUUUUGAAAGAAGCUAAUUAAACUGUAGACACUAAAUCUUUAGAUGUUACUGAAUCAACUCAAUCAACCAGUUCUGGCAAGUCCAAAUAUUAGCAGUGGUAGCAAAUACGAAUAAGCGAUCACAUAUAGAACACUUGCCAUGUGGACAAUCAGAUGGAUUCUGUCAUCUAAGAUUUAAAAAGCAAAAUAAAAAAAUACCACGGAAACCUUCAUGUUAUGGGAAAGUGACUGCGUAUUUGUAAAGAACACAGUCAAUACUAGAUGUGUGAGCUGUAAAUAAUGUAGUCAUUAUUAUUUUGGUCUGGAACACUUUAUGUCCUUUAGUCAUUAAAAUUAGGAUCUAUAAGACUGGGGCAGCAUGGAGAAAUGACUAUUACACCAUGCAGUGACUUUUUUUAAAAAAGAGAAACAUAAACUUAGGGCAUCUAUUUCCCACCAUUUUCUCAUUUAAUUACAAUUCCCUGAUACCUUUCUACUAGUCUCGUGCUGUUUGGGGGCAAACUAGUAAGAAGCUGGGGGCAAAAGUCUCCUCUUCCAAUAAAUUCCUGUGGAAGUAGGAAGCUAUUAUCUGUUUCUUCCUUUUAUAAUGGAGCUUAAAUUCUUACCUGAAAUAGACCCCAGCUGUGGAGGUAAAGGGUGUGGAGGAGAGGAAGAAAUAACAGUGUUUGUGAGUGCGUAUGUGUGUGUGUGCACGUAUGUGGCAGGUGUUUGCAAACACAUGGGAAGCACCUAUGCUUUCCUUGUUUCCAGUGGGAGAAGCUGCCUAAAGCAUGUCUCUUCCUGUUCAGCAAGACAUCUCGGUUCCCUGAAAAUUCAUCAGGGAUGGUGAAAUCUCCAUGAACGAACACAGAAAGCUCCACCAAAGGGACAGUUCAUGGUGAAUUCAGUGAUAGUGACAUUCUAGAAGUUGACACCGGUCAACCCUUUCUAUCCACCUCCACCCUGUCUCAGUGUCUUUCUUUUGCUGUUGCUUCUCAUCACCAACAAACUCAUGUCUGGUUUUUGGGAAACAUUACUGUGUAACGGCUUCUGUAAAAUAAGAGCUCUUCUUUGUAGAAAAAUGUAAUAGUCUUAGCAAUUAAGCCCAUGUUUUAUAGUAUUGUUUCAUUAGGAAUAAAUACAUAUAUUGUAAUUAAAAACUUUUCUCAGCU